rnacentral:lncRNA from 1 species
GCGAGUGUUAUGUAUCUGGAGACUAUGUACGUAUAGAGAACCUGAUGUUAUUUAUAUAUGUUUUUCAGUUUAGCAGCUCUCUACUACUAGUUGUAGUUUUGUAUGAUUACAGGUACAGAUACAGCUAUCGCUUCGUAUACAGAAAAAAUUUCUAUGUAUACCGCGGAUUUAUCGGUGUCCCCGGGGAAACGAGUAAUUCGGGGCAUGACAAGUUAAAUAUCUACCACAGUUAAAAAAAAUUAAAAUACCAAUUUUGCCCUUAACUUAAGGGCAAAUAAGAAAUGUUGGUGACGGUAGAGGGAUAUAUUGGGAAAGACCAAAAGUCAAAAUAUUUUUUGUGCCCCUGACUUUAAGGGCAAAUUAGAAAGACAGUGAUGGUGGAAAGGUAUAUUUGAAAAAGCAAAAUAGCAAUUUUACGAGAUAACAGAAUUAAUUAAUAGAUUUUAACUCUAGGGGUAUAUUAGAAAUAGGUUGGAACGUAGGAAGGAUAUUUUCAAUAUUAGCUUUCUAAGAGGGAUAAAUCGGAAAGUCGGGAACUUUUCAGGGGUAUAUAAGCAAUUGCCCCUAUUGUUUAACCAACUUUUUCUAUUAAUACUAUUUCAUUCUUUCCUUCAUUCUUUACCGACUAUUGUUUUUUCUUUGAGUCAACUCUUGCAGAUUUUUUUUCGACUUCUGCAACUCUAAAUUUCAUUAUAUCUAUAGCUGCUCCUGCUACUAUUGCUUCAGCUGCUUCUAUUUUUAUUUGUUUGUUAUUCAAAAAUUUUUAAUUCUUCUUAUGUAUUUACUAUUUUGUCUUUUCUUAGCUUUUUUUAUAAGAUCUCAAAUAUUUCUUCAGGUUAUCUAUACAUCAAAUUUUUUUCUCUUAUAGUUCUAUUUU